GGGCGCACCCUGAUGGAGCACGCCGCGUGCAGGAUGAAGGCCUUCGGGUUGUAAACUGCUUUUAUAAGUGAAGAAUAUGACGGUAACUUAUGAAUAAGCAUCGGCUAACUCCGUGCCAGCAGCCGCGGUAAUA
rnacentral:rRNA from 1 species